ACCUUGCAAGUGAAAGUUGGUUUUGCACAUCCCAAAAGGUAAAUGGAUCCCUUCUUCUAAUGUUCUCUUUCUUUUUAUCCAUAGCACAACUGGCUUUAUAUCUCUGGACCGGCAUGCAUGCCACCGCCCCUGAAAUCAAGGAGUUGCAGGGAUGUAAUGGAAUACUGAGACGGUUAUUAAUUUUAAAAUUUAUAGAAUUAAUUAAAAUAUAUAUAAACUAAUCUGAUUUCAUAUUAAUAAUAAUAAUAAAAAGGAGGGGCGGGGAUCCUAAAGAUAAACUGUAAAGCUUACUUCAUCUGAUUCCACCCAGGAAAAUUGAAAAGCAGCCGUUUUGCUCUGUAUACGUUUUCUUCUCCUCUUCUAAGCCGAUCAUUGAAAAACGUAUUGAAAUUCGU
rnacentral:lncRNA from 1 species